rnacentral:rRNA from 1 species
CCUGCCCUAUGAUAUAUUUAUUAAAUGGCCGCGAUAAUUUGAUCGUGCAAAGGUAGCAUAAUAAUUAGUUUUUUAAUUGGGAACUGGAAUGAAAGGUCGAACGAGAAAAAAUCUGUCUCAAUUUAAAUUUGAUUAGAAUUUUAUUUUUAAGUUAAAAAGCUUAAAUAUUUUUUAAAGACGAGAAGACCCUAUAGAGUUUAAUAUUUUUAUUUUUAUUUUUUAGUUUAAGAAUUUAAUUUUAAGAUUAAUUUAAAAAUAUUUGGUUGGGGUGAUUAAAAAAUUAGAAAAACUUUUUUUAUUUAAGUUAACAUUGAUUUAUGGUUAAGUGAUCCAUUAAUUAUGAUUAUAAGAUUAAAUUACCUUAGGGAUAACAGCGUAAUUUUUUUUGAGAGUUCUUAUCGAAAAAAGAGUUUGCGACCUCC